GCAUCACUGGUGUUCGGGUUGUCAUGCCAAUGGCACUGCCCGGUAGCUAAAUGCGGAAGAGAUAAGUGCUGAAAGCAUCUAAGCACGAAACUUGCCCCGAGAUGAGUUCUCCCUGACCCUUUAAGGGUCCUGAAGGAACGUUGAAGACGACGACGUUGAUAGGCCGGGUGUGUAAGCGCAGCGAUGCGUUGAGCUAACCGGUACUAAUGAACCGUGAGGCUUAACCUUACAACGCCGAAG
rnacentral:rRNA from 1 species